rnacentral:rRNA from 1 species
UACGUAGGGGUCUAGCGUUGUCCGGAAUCAUUGGGCGUAAAGAGCUCGUAGGCGGUUCGGCAAGUCGGAUGUGAAAUCUCCACGCUCAACGUGGAGGGGCCAUUCGAAACUGCCGUGACUCGAGUCCGGUAGGGGAGUGCGGAAUUCCCGGUGUAGCGGUGAAAUGCGCAGAUAUCAGGAAGAACACCCGUGGCUAAGGCGGCUCUCUAGUACGUGACUGACGCUGAGACGCGAAAGCGUGGGGAGCGAACAGG